AAACUUUCGACAACGGAUCUCUUGGCUCUAGCAUCGAUGAACAACGCAGCGAAAUGCGAUAAGUAAUGCGAAUUGCAGAAUUCAGUGAAUCAUCGAAUCUUUGAACGCACAUUGCGCCCGCUAGUAUUCUGGCGGGCAUGCCUGUCUGAGCGUCAUUU
rnacentral:rRNA from 1 species